GACCCCAACCAACCCCCUCUGCCGGCGGCGCGACCUUCCCAGAUCCUCCGACGGCGCGACCUCUCCAGAUCCUCCGGCGGCGCGGCCUCCCAUAUCCUCGCCGCCGCGCCCAAGCUUGGGCGCCGACCUAGCAGCCCCGUGCGCCGCCCUGCCACUUCCCUGCGCCGCCGCCUGCGCACAACCGCCGUCGCGACCCACCUCCCCGCACCGCCACCUUCCCACCACCGCAGCCACCGGGAUCCACGCACCUCCACGCGUCGCCGGUGCAUGUGCUCGUCGGCGUGCCCGCGUUCUUCCCCAUUGACGAGAUCGAGCGAGUGCCUCCGGUUCCUCCGCCAAGUCUCCUCCCCCACGCGAUGCAGGCCUACCCAAGGUGUCGCGCGCCAGAAACCCACGGCUGUGUCUCCCGCCCUCCGGCUCUUCCCGACUUCCCCCGGUGGGGCUCCACAUCCACCACACCGCCUCAUCCCGGUGGGGCUCUUCCACCGCGGUGCCUAGGCCGUUUAAUGACAAAGCCCAGCCAGUUGAUGUAGACCGCAUCAUCUUAAAGGAAAGCCAGUGACAAUCUGUCGAGUGAAACCAGUGCACUGUCAAGCGAACAUACCUAUGCAGCUGACAAUUUGGUCGGCGGCAGCAACAUUUCUUGGCACGUGGGUGUUGGUUUUGGCGGGCAAGCAAGCAGCAACAAGCAGCUGCAGGCAAAAGGUGUUUGAUUGGCUCCUCUGACUCCCUUCGCCAUGCCACUCACCUUGCGUCGCUGGACCACCGCGGUCAUAGGCAGAAUCC